GAUGAACGCUGGCGGCGUGCCUAAUACAUGCAAGUCGAGCGAACAGACGAGGAGCUUGCCCCUCUGACGUCAGCGGCGGACGGGUGAGUAACACGUGGAUAACCUACCUAUAAGACUGGGAUAACUUCGGGAAACCGGAGCUAAUACCGGAUAAUAUAUUGAACCGCAUGGUUCAAUAGUGAAAGACGGUUUUGCUGUCACUUAUAGAUGGAUCCGCGCCGCAUUAGCUAGUUGGUAAGGUAACGGCUUACCAAGGCAACGAUGCGUAGCCGACCUGAGAGGGUGAUCGGCCACACUGGAACUGAGACACGGUCCAGACUCCUACGGGAGGCAGCAGUAGGGAAUCUUCCGCAAUGGGCGAAAGCUUGACGGAGCAACGCCGCGUGAGUGAUGAAGGUCUUCGGAUCGUAAAACUCUGUUAUUAGGGAAGAACAAAUGUGUAAGUAACUAUGCACGUCUUGACGGUACCUAAUCAGAAAGCCACGGCUAACUACGUG
rnacentral:rRNA from 1 species